CCCAACUUUCUCUUCACUACCUUCAAAGUAGGUUUGUCCUUGCCCAUUUUAAGCAGCUUAGUAAUUCUCUUCUCAAAUGGUACAAACCCAGCAACUUCCCGGAUAAGGCUCCUUGCAAAGUGCACUCUCUUGCUCAUUUUUCAUUUCCUAGCCAAGGGCCAGGGAGCUAAUUCCUUCAGGGUCACAACAUGGCCUUUGUUCAAGACCACAAAUAAGCCAGUAUUUGGCAGCUUUGGAGACAUUACCUUUUCUUCGAUCUGUCUGAUUUGCAAUUUCAUUUUUUAAUAUUGGAAGUCUAGUUUGGAAACACCUUU
rnacentral:lncRNA from 1 species